rnacentral:lncRNA from 10 species
UCCUUGUCUCAUACUAUAUACAAAAAUUAACUCAAAAUGGAUCUAAAACUUAAAUGUAAGACUGGAAACCAUAAACUCCUAGAAGAAAAUAUAGGGAAAAAAAGCUCCCUGACAUUGGUCUUGGCAAUAAUUUUUUUAGAUAUGACACCAAAAGCACAGGCAACAACAGCAAAAAUAAAUAAGUAAGACUGCAACAAACUAAAAAGAAAGCAAUUAACAAAACAAAAAGACAACCUACAAAAUGAGAGAAAAUAUUUGCAAACCAUAUUAUCUGAUAAGGGGUUAAUAUCUGAAACAUAUAAGAAACUCACACAACUCAAUAGCACAAAAACAAACAACCAGAUUAAAAAAUGGCCUGUAAUCCCAGCCACUCAGGAGGCUAAUGUGGGAGGAUCACUUGAGGCCAGGAGUUCAAGACCAGCCUGGGCAACACAGCAAGACCCUGCUUUUAAAAAAGAAAUUAGGGCGGCUAUGGUGAGUGGAUCACUUGAGCUCUGGAGUUCAAGACCAGCCUGAGCAACAUGGCAAAACCCCAUCUUUAAAAAAAAUUAGAGGGGCAUGGUGGUGCACGCCUAUGCCUGUAGUCCCAGCUACUGGGGUGGCUGAGGUGGGAGGAUCUCCUGAGCCUGGGAGGUUGAGACUGCAGUGAGCCCUGACUGUGCCACUAUACUCCAGCCUGGGCCAGAGGUGAGGCCGUCUCAAAAAAAAAAAAAAAAAAAAAAAAAAAUUAGCCAAGCCUGAUGAUGAUGAUGCACACCCACAGUCCUAGCUACUUGGGA